rnacentral:rRNA from 1 species
UACGUAGGGUGCAAGCGUUAAUCGGAAUUACUGGGCGUAAAGCGUGCGCAGGCGGUUAUGUAAGACAGAUGUGAAAUCCCCAAGCUUAACUUGGGAACUGCAUCCGAUACUGGAUGGCUUGAAUCCGGGAGAGGGAUGCAGAAUUCCAGGUGUAGCGGUGAAAUGCGUAGAUAUCAGGAGGAACACCGGUGGCGAAGGCGGAUCUCUGGGCCGAUACUGACGCUGGAGGAACGAAAGCGUGGGGAGCGAACAGG